AGUGAACGCUGGCGGUAGGCCUAACACAUGCAAGUCGAACGGCAGCACAGUAAGAGCUUGCUCUUACGGGUGGCGAGUGGCGGACGGGUGAGGAAUACAUCGGAAUCUACUUUUUCGUGGGGGAUAACGUAGGGAAACUUACGCUAAUACCGCAUACGACCUACGGGUGAAAGCAGGGGAUCUUCGGACCUUGCGCGAUUGAAUGAGCCGAUGUCGGGUUAGCUAGUUGGCGGGGUAAAGGCCCACCAAGGCGACGAUCCGUAGCUGGUCUGAGAGGAUGAGCCGCCACGAGAGAACAGACACGCGGUCCAGACCUCUGGGAGGGGCAAGAGGGGGGAAUAAUGGAAAAGGGGCGAAAGUCUCAUCAAGCCAUAGCGCGUGGGUGAAGAAGGCCGUGGGGGUGUAAAGCCCUUUUGUGGGGAAAAAAAAGGAGCAGGUUAAUACCCCGCUGUUGAGGGUGUCCCCAAAGAAGAAGCAGGGGAAAAAUGUG
rnacentral:rRNA from 1 species